ensembl:lncRNA
GAGGUGGAGGCAACAAGACACUGGGUCCUGUACGGGGGGUAAGUUGUCCAGACAUCCAGGCGGGGGGGUCCAGUUCAGUGUGUGUGACCAGGAUGCCCUUCCCCAUGCGCUCUGGGCGUGUGGGGAGGAGCUGCCGGCCUCUGUCCUUCACUCAGACUAAAGACUUGGGGCCUGAGCACAUACUUUCCUCCAUCAAAUUUAGCAAGUGUGAACUGCAGCCACAUUUGAGCCGGAUUCCCAUCAGAAGAAUAGGGUCGAGUGAAGCCCCGCCUCAAAACUGUCACUCAAACGGGAAAGAGGAGCUGUCCACUCUGAGGGUGUGGAAGCUGCUACGGCCUGGACUGCAGCGCCAUCUGUCACUCACAGGUGUAUCGGGAAAGCAGGCUGCGUUACAGUUGGCCUCCAAAGCAAUAAUCAAGAAAAAUACUGACAAUGGUCUCCAAUUCAACAAAGGAACAGAUAUUAUUGAAACCACACCUGAGGUGGAGGAGACUGCUCUGCUGCCUCUGCCAGAAACCCUUAACUUGAGUGAAACAGUGACACUCUGUGGUGAAGCCUAGUAACUGCACAUAUGUUUACUUUAUUUAUUUAUAGCAUAAACUGUAUACAGUCUUUAAUUUAUAGAGUUGAAUGGGACAAACCCAUAGUCAAAAUGAAGAUAACAACAUAAACUCUAAUGAGGUGUUACUGUACAAUAAAUGGGUUUGUUUAGUCUUUAGUUGUAAAUGCAGUGGUGGUG